rnacentral:rRNA from 1 species
AGAACGAACGCUGGCGGCAUGCCUAACACAUGCAAGUCGAACGUGAUCCAGGCUUCGGCCUGGUGAAAGUGGCAGACGGGUGAGUAACGCGUGGGAACCUGCCCUGUGGUAGGGAAUAACCGUGGGAAACUGCGGCUAAUACCCUAUGAGUCCUUCGGGAGAAAGAUUUAUCGCCAUAGGAGGGGCCCGCGUCGGAUUAGGUAGUUGGUGGGGUAACGGCCUACCAAGCCUUCGAUCCGUAGCUGGUCUGAGAGGAUGAUCAGCCACACUGGGACUGAGAUACGGCCCAGACUCCUACGGGAGGCAGCAGUGGGAAUAUUGGACAAUGGGGGCAACCCUGAUCCAGCAAUGCCGCGUGGAUGAUGAAGUCCCUUGGGACGUAAACUCCUUUCGAUCGGGACGAUUAUGACGGUACCGGAAGAAGAAGCCCGGCUAACUCGCGCCAGCAGCCGC